UCCAACACAGGCUCCCAGCCAGACCAAGCUGGAUGCUCGCAGGAUGUCUUGUACUCGCACUGAAGACAAAUGAGGGUGCAGUCAUAGAG
rnacentral:lncRNA from 1 species